rnacentral:rRNA from 1 species
CGGGGUGAGUAACACGUGGAUAACCUGCCUCACACAGGGGGAUAACAGUUAGAAAUGACUGCUAAUACCGCAUAAGCGCACGGUACCGCAUGGUACAGUGCGAAAACUCCGGUGGUGUGAGAUGGAUCCGCGUCUGAUUAGGUAGUUGGUGAGGUAACGGCCCACCAAGCCGACGAUCAGUAGCCGACCUGAGAGGGUGAUCGGCCACAUUGGGACUGAGACACGGCCCAA